rnacentral:tRNA from 1 species
GGGCCCGUUGCCCAGUACGGAUUAAGGCGCCGAACCGCGCUGAAAAGAAGCGGUGCGCAAGCCUCCGGACGACAGAAUGGAAGAAAGCCGGAGAACAGGGGUUCAAAUCCCCUCGGGCCCG